rnacentral:rRNA from 1 species
UUGGAGGGCAAGUCUGGUGCCAGCAGCCGCGGUAAUUCCAGCUCCAAUAGCGUAUAUUAAAGUUGUUGCAGUUAAAAAGCUCGUAGUUGAAUUUCGGGAUCAGAUUGUCGGUCGUGCCUCGGUACGCACUGGUAUUAUUGGUUCCUACCUUCUGAAGAACCGCGAUGUCAUUAAUUUGGUGUCGUGGGGAAUCAGGACUGUUACUUUGAAAAAAUUAGAGUGUUUAAAGCAGGCUUACGCUUGAAUACAUUAGCAUGGAAUAAUGAAAUAGGACGUUUGAUUCUAUUUUGUUGGUUUCUAGGAUUGACGUAAUGAUUAAUAGGGAUAGUUGGGGGCAUUAGUAUUCAAUUGUCAGAGGUGAAAUUCUUGGAUUUAUUGAAGACUAACUACUGGGAAAGCAUUUGCCAAGGAUGUUUUCAUUAAUCAAGAACGAAAGUUAGGGGAUCGAAGACGAUCAGAUACCGUCGUAGUCUUAACCAUAAACUAUGCCGACUAGGGAUCGGAUGAUGUUAAUUUUUUAAUGACUCAUUCGGCGCCUUACGGGAAAC